rnacentral:lncRNA from 1 species
ACUUGGCCCAGUUAAGAGCAGCGAACAUCAAAGCCCAAGAGGCUGGUCGGCGCCUAAUUACGCCGACGAGUGCAGUGGAUGGAAGCGAUGAAAAUGCAAAUGUGCAGAGCAAAAAAUACGCCAAAGCCAAAAUUAACUGGCAACAAUUGAGAGCGGCAAGAAAAAUCCGAGAAUAUGGAUGGAGGCAAGUUAAUUGUGCAGGGAGGACUGUGGACAGUGAACCAGUGGACGAGAAGUGGGCAGCCGGGCAGGACACUCGACGAGCUAGUCCUUGCUCUCUGCAUUUUUUGCUGCC